rnacentral:SRP_RNA from 1 species
GGGCACAGUGGCAUGUGCCUGUAGUCCCAGCUACUCGGGAGACUGAGGUGGGAGGACCAUUUGAGCCCAGGAGUUCUGGGCUGUAGUGCGCUAUGCCGAUCGGGUGUCUGCACUAAGUUCGGCAUCAGUAUGGUGACCUCCCAGGAACGAGGGACUACCAGGUUGCCUAAGGAGGGGUGAACCCAUCCAGGUCGGAAACAGAGCAGGUCAAAACUCCAGUGCUGAUCAGUAAUGGGAUCGCGCCUGUGAAUAGCCACUGCACUGCAGCCGGGGCAACACAGCNNNNNNN